rnacentral:rRNA from 1 species
CACGAAGUUAGCCGGUGCUUAUUCUGUCGGUAACGUCAAAACUCACAGGUAUUCGCUGUAAGCCCUUCCUCCCAACUUAAAGUGCUUUACGACCCGAAGGCCUUCUUCACACACGCGGCAUGGCUGGAUCAGGCUUUCGCCCAUUGUCCAAUAUUCCCCACUGCUGCCUCCCGUAGGAGUCUGGACCGUGUCUCAGUUCCAGUGUGACUGAUCAUCCUCUCAGACCAGUUACGGAUCGUCGCCUUGGUAGGCCUUUACCCUACCAACUAGCUAAUCCGACCUAGGCUCAUCUAAUAGCGUGAGGUCCGAAGAUCCCCCACUUUCUCCCGUAGGACGUAUGCGGUAUUAGCGUUCCUUUCGAAACGUUGUCCCCCACUACUAGGCAGAUUCCUAGGCAUUACUCACCCGUCCGCCGCUGAAUCGAGGAGCAAGCUCCUCUCAUCCGCUCGACUUGCAUGUGUUAGGCCUGCCGCCAGCGUUCAAUCUGAGCCAGGAUCAAACUCU